UUUUAUUGCCUAGUGGUAUUUUGACCUUGAUAUGCAGGAAGGUUCGGUCUGCAGACAUUAUGAUUCACCUGGAAAUCACAACAGAAACAGGACCUCAUCCCCUUUCCUGAAGAACUAAUCAUCAGACAACAAGCCAGGUCAAGAGCAAACACACCUGGCCCCACGCUGACCAAAGCUUCGCUUUAUCACCUGGUAUGGUCAUAAAUGGCAGAGUUCUGUCAGUGCUGUGAAGUCUUGGAUUCUGUUAUUACGUCUGUGGAUGCUGCUCUACCUGGCUUCUCUGCAAUUAGCGCUAAGAAACGGAAACUCUUCAUCUGUCAGGAAAGCAUGCUAGAUAUUACUGAACAUGAUCGGGUGAAGAAGACAAGAUGCUUGCCCACCCCCAGCCCAUCCUUAGGGGAGCCCAUCAUUCAAGCACCCAGAGGGUUAGCUGGUGAACAUUCCCAUGUGUGUAAAAGUGGAGGGGGAAACUAAGGAGUGGCAGCAAAUGGAGAUGAUUCUGGGACUGAUUCCUAAGACAGAUAAGGAUAACAAGUUAUGACAACAACCAAGUGUCCCUCACCAUCUGGUUCUACAAGGAUGAAGUCACCAGCCGCUGCAGUCGCUGACCUUAAUACACCCUGAAAGGAGGUCAGGGUGGAGGUCAGGAAUGACACACACUGUGUUCCAGGAAAACUGACAGAACAGGUCUUCAGACACUUAGACGUUUCUAGGAGCAAAUUUUAUGAACCUGAUUUUUUGCAUCUUCUCAUACCUAGAAAAGCACUAAAGUCCUUAACGGGGACAUCUGCUCCUCAUGACUAACAGCAUCCUUCUACCAAGAUGUGCGCUUAUUCAGUGCAUCCCCUCUUCACCAAAAUCAUAUGUGCACCGACCUCCCACCUUGGCUCUUUGGAACAGCUCCUCAGAGCUGUCCGAGAGGCUGUCACCUGGGCUAUAGUCCUCAAUACGUCCCCCAAUAAAUCUG